AAACCUUGUAUAAGGUUGUGUUUUUGCUGUGUUUUUUUUACUUAUGUUGUUGUUGUGGAUCUGAGAAAUCUAUCUCUCUGACGCUAUAGAGAUAGGAGAGAGAGAGAUUAUAGAGAGAGAGAAAACAACAAAACAUAGUGAGAGAGAGAGAGUGUGUGUGUUGUUUUGUUGAGUAUAUAGAUAGCCACCAAAACCUAUUGUUGUGAGUUAUGUUGUAAGAGAAAUCAAAAAUCUUCACCACCAUUGUUUCUCUGAACCCUUUACUCUAAAUUUCAUUUCUGAGCGAGAAAGUUUCAAUUUUUCUUUGUUUUCUGAAAUGGGUUCUUGUGAAGCAACAAAUGUAGUUCUUGCUAAAGUCAAGAACUUUGACCCUGAAAAUGCUUCAAAAAUCAUGGGUUAUCUUCUGAUGAACCUUGAAGAAUAUGAAUUAGUACGUUUAGCAUGUUGCCCUGACCAUGUUAUUCAUAAUCUUGCUGUUAGGGUCAAGAGCCAUUUGGGUAUGGCACUGUCAAACCCUUCUUCUCCUUCACCUCUUAACCCAAUUGGUAGAAUCGCUUCAACUUCUACAAACCCUUUUUCAAAAUCUUCUCCUAGAGGCGUUGGAACCGUUGCUAAUGGUUUUGACUUCACUAGAAACCCUCCUUCUCCUUCUUCUUCUUCCAAUGUUUGGCCACAACCCUCUUUUCAAAAGAAUCCAAUGAGUCCAAAGUUUAAUCCUUUACUCUCUUAUGAGAAUAUGCAAACUGGUGCUGGUGUUGUUGGUGUUGGUGGUUCUAGUUCUGGUGUUGGUGGUGGUUCCACUUCUUUCUCACCAAGGGUUAAUAAUGGUGGUGAAUGUGAAUUUGUUGAUGAGCAACACCUGAAUGAGUAUUUUCCUUUUCUCAAUGAGUCAUCUAAUGGUGACGAUUUGGUUGAUCCGCGUCAUGAAAUGAGUCUUGGACCUCAGAAUUGGAUGUCUGGUAACAAUGGUGAUGCUAAUCAUAGGAGGAGUUUUUCUGCAAGUGAUGCUGGUUUUGGUGUGGAAGAGAGUGGAGUAGGAUUUGGUUUUAAGCCAUGUCUUUACUAUGCUAGAGGCUUUUGUAAAAAUGGUUCUAAUUGUAAGUUUGUUCAUGCUGAUUCAAUUGAUGUUAAUUCUGUUGCUGUUGUUGGUUCACCCUCGAAGUUUGAGGGAUUGGAGCAGCAUGAAGAGUUCAUGAGGUUCAAAGCUGCUCAGCAUCAAAGGUUGCUGGCUGCAUCACAACUUGCUGCUGGUGGAACAUCCCCGUCUUCGUACGACAAGUACAUUGAUUUUCUGAUGCAGCAGCACAAUGAUAAUCAAAGAGCUGCGGCUGCAGCGGCUUUUAUGAUGGGUGAGGAAUAUUUCAACAUUAGUGGUCGGGGAAGGCCCGAAAGGAAUGAGUUUCUCGCCAUGGUUGCUGGGGAUAAGCCAAACUCGGCUUCGCGGCAGAUUUAUUUAACCUUUCCUGCUGAAAGCACAUUCAAAGAUGAAGAUGUUUCGGAGUAUUUCAGCAAAUAUGGACCUGUCCAAGACGUGAGAAUUCCUUACCAGCAGAAGCGUAUGUUCGGGUUUGUUACCUUUGUCUUUCCAGAGACGGUGAGAAACAUAUUAUCGAAAGGGAAUCCUCAUUUUAUAUGCGAUUCACGCGUGCUUGUGAAACCCUACAAGGAGAAGGGCAAAGUUCCUGACAAGAGACAACAUCCACAGCAACUAGAGAGGGGCGAUUUUUCACCGUGUUUAAGUCCCUCUGGGUUUGAAUCUAAAGAACCUUUUGAAUUCCAUCAUGGAGCAAGAAUGAUGUAUAAUCCGCAUGACAUCUUAUUGAGAAGGAAAAUAGAAGAGCAGGCUGAGUUGCAGCAAGUCCUUGAAUUCCAAGAAAGGAGGCUGAAGAGUCUGCAGCUUCCAGACUUCAAGAAUAUUCCGAUCCACCACCAGCGCAGUCUCUCUCUCGGGGCUCCUUUUAUUUUUCCUCAUCAACUUCAUACCCAUGUUAACCAUGCAGGUCUUUCUCCCGAUAACAUUCAAGGAGAUAUUACUGGCUACGCUGUCAACCUCACUUCUACCGGUUCUUUCGGCGCUGCAUCUGAGCAGCAGCAGCAGUUACAGUUACAGAAAGAAGCUGAUACAUCCCGCAUUGGUGCUGCUAUCGCUGCUGCUGAAAGUGGAAACGUAAUCAAUACUGCAAACUCAGAAGCUGUAGAUCUCGGCACUCGAAACGUGGAGCAAACCCUUCCUGAGAGUCUCUUUGCUUCCCCAACCAAAGCAGCUGGAGAUCAUCGGUCCGAUUUCUCUCCACUCGAAAACGUCAAUGAGAGCACUGCAUUUUCCACUAUCUCAUCCCAGAAGCCAGACUCGUCAACAACAACAACUGCACCGGGCAACAACAACGCGUCCCUUUAAUUUUCCUUACAAAUCAAGGUAAUAAAAAUAGAAGAGGGGCGGGCAAGAGAUCAUGUUAUAUUAAUUAGGUUAUGUUGUUUUGUAUGCAGAAGUGCAGGUUUAUAGAAUCAAUCGUAUAUUAGAAGAAAAAAAUCUUCUAGAUGUAUAGCUGAAUACACCUAGAUCAAGAGACUAGUUGGUUCCUAGAGCAAGAGAAUCAAAACUAAGGUCAUCAUCAUCAUAUCAUCGUCGUCAUCAUCGAUCAUCAAUCAUCAAUCAUCAUCAAAUACAUACUACUAACAGCAACCAAGCAAUACACAUAUUGCAUACAUGGAUAGAGACAUAUUAGUUUAUAUAUUACUAUAAGACUAUAUAAGACUAGUUUUCUUUCAUCAUUUUCAUCAUUUCCCAUUUCAUUUCCAGACAGAAAAACAAAAAAAAAAAAUGUUGUUUUUACCUUUCAUGUAAUAUAUAGACUAUGUGAUUAUGUUAUGUUUGUGUUUAAUUAGUAAAAAUCUCUUGCCCGAAAAUAUCAUCGUCUUAAAAUAGACAUAUUAGUUUACCAUGCAUGCAAUAUUGUGAAGGAUUUAUUUUUGUUGAUCUUGUUAGAAUGAUAAAUAAAAUGGAAAGAAUAGAAUUGGUAGGAAAUAGAUUUUUGUCGGAUAUUGGUGGUGAGACUGAAUGGUAAGGUCCACUUGUGGGGUUGUUUGUAGGGUGGGGGUUCACCUGCUUUCACAUGCUUGUGACAGUAUACAAACAAUUUGUACUGUUCCAUCACACUCCUUUCACUAUCAUC